AUUGAACGCUGGCGGCAUGCUUUACACAUGCAAGUCGAACGGUAACAGGCCGCAAGGUGCUGACGAGUGGCGAACGGGUGAGUAAUGCAUCGGAACGUGCCCAGUCGUGGGGGAUAACUGCUCGAAAGAGCAGCUAAUACCGCAUACGAUCUAUGGAUGAAAGCGGGGGACCGUCAGGCCACGGGCGAUUGGAGCGGCCGAUGGCAGAUUAGGUAGUUUGAGGGGGAAAGGCUAACCAAGCCAACGAUCUGUAGCGGGUCCGAGAGGACGACCAGCCACACCAGAACUGAGACCCGGACCAGACUCCUACAGGAGGUAGCAGUGGAGAAUUUUGGACAAUGGACGCAAGUCUGAUCCAGCCAUUCCGCGUGCAGAAUGAAGGCCCUCGGGUUUUAAACUGCUUUUGUACGGAACGAAAAGGUCUCUCUUAAUACGGGGGCUCAUGACGGUACCGUAAGAAUAAGCACCGGCUAACUACGUGCCAGCCGCCGCCGUAAAAC
rnacentral:rRNA from 1 species